UACGAAGGGGGCUAGCGUUGCUCGGAAUCACUGGGCGUAAAGGGUGCGUAGGCGGGUCUUUUAAGUCAGGGGUGAAAUCCUGGAGCUCAACUCCAGAACUGCCUUUGAUACUGAGGAUCUUGAGUUCGGGAGAGGUGAGUGGAAUUCCCAGUGUAGAGGUGAAAUUCGUAGAUAUUGGGAAGAACACCGGUGGCGAAGGCGGCUCACUGGCUCAUUACUGAGCUCAGGCGCGAUAGCGUGGGGGAUCAAACAGG
rnacentral:rRNA from 1 species